rnacentral:lncRNA from 1 species
UUCAUUUUUUCAUUGAAGAAUUGUACAAGAUGGUACUAUUUCCAUCAACUUUAUCCUUUAGAGGAGAAUUUGAAAUUCGAAUGGGAAUUCAUCCAAAAACCCACCUGAUUUCCCCUUUUUUCAGCCCUAUUCUCCUUUAUUCUUCUUUAUUGUUAGAGGUUGAAGAAAAGGUUGGGAAUUUCAAUUGAUAUAAAGAGAACUGCCUAGCAAGAAAUAGCUAUAGAAAUUACAUACGAAAUACGUUCGAAAUAGAUAGGAGGUUCAGUUCGAUCUCACUGUUGUGGUCUCGUUCAUCGAGACUUUUGGAGUUUCAUUGUGGUGGUGAUAGCGCUCGUUUCAAGCUCAUCCUCCUGGUCUCGCUGCUCCAAAAAAAGGUAAUUAUUUUCCCUUUAUUAAGUUUCUGCUUGUGUUGUUACUGUGUGUUAUUGAUUACCUUAUUUCUUAAUGUUCUACCUGACUCUUCUUAAAUGUUUUCAAUGCUCCGUCUUAAUUUUAUGCAGAGCUUGACGCGUUAGCAUUCAGAGUUUGGUUUGUUUUCUAUUAGAUUUGUAUAAUCGUGGUUUUUGUCUUAAACUCUGCUUGGUCAUAAAGUUCGACUCCUUCACUGUGUGUGGUGAUAUAGGUGUAAUUGUAGUCAUUUCUCUUUUGUUUCAAUACACUGUUUCAAACUCUUUAUCAAUAUUUAUGGUUUAACUAUUCUGCUUGAGAACUAGAUAGUUUCAAGUUAUAUAUGUGGGAUUCAUGCUUCAGAUAAUUGUUUGCUAGCCAUGUCAAUAAUACUGCACAGCCAUGGCUAAGCAUCAUCCAUGGAUGCAAUACGUGAGAGAGAGAGACUGAAGAAAAAGAGGGCAAUUUGGGGAAAAUCUCUUAACUGAUUUUCAUUAUGAGAAGAGCGUAUAAUUAUACAGUGAAGGAACAGUAAAUCUAACUAACAAUUGAACUAACAUAUUAACAGAACACUAACAGUAUACUAACUACCCUGACUAAUUAAUCUGACAAGACUAACUAACUAACAAACUUAUUAGACUAGUACAUAAUUAGCUUAAUCACAAUACCCCUCCCCCCUCAAGUUGGAGGUGUGGAGAACAUUGACAACUUGCUCAAUGUUGUAGAUUGUUUGAUCCUAGUCAAAGUCUUGGUUAGUAUAUCUCCAAGUUGCUUAUCAGAGUUUAUGUGAUGUAGGGAAAUAAGUCCAGUUUGAAGCAGAUUCCUUACAAAGUGGCAAUCAAGUUCAAUAUGUUUGGUUCGUUCAUGAAACACUGGAUUUCGAGCAAUAUGAAAAGUUGAUUGACUGUCACAAAAUACCUCAAUGGGUGUUGGCAGUGGCACUGUAAGUUCUGUCAAUAAUCUGCUAAGCCAAAUCAACUUACCUGCAACUUUUCUUAGAGCCCUAUACUCUGCCUCUACUGAAGACAAAGAUACAGUCUCUUGUUUCUUGGAUUUCCAGCUCAGUGGACUAUUGCCUAACAGCACAAUAUAGCCACUCACUAACUUCCUGGAGUCAGGGCAUGCAGCCCAGUCAGAGUCACAAUAGGCCUUGAUAUUGUAUGACUGGUCUUUGGACAUAAAAAUUCCUAGAGUGGGAUCAGCCUUGAGAUACCUCAAUAAAUGGAAUGUUGCCUGCAAGUGUGGCUCUCCAGGAUCCUGCAUAAAUUGACUAAGGUGUUGUACAUUGUAUGAUAUGUCCAUUCUAGUGCUGGUUAAGAAGUUCAACUUUCCAACAAGGUUUCUAUAAAAAUAAAGGUUCUAACAAAGGUGUUCCUUCCUUGGCAUGGAGCUUUACUGCAGGGUCCAGUGGAGAUGUGCAGCUUCUCAUCCCUGCAACCUUGUAAUUCUUCAGCAUGUCUAGGAAAAAUUUCCUUUGUGAGAUGAUAAGUCCAUCAUCUUUAUAAAGCACUUCCAUCCCAAGAAAAUAGUGUAACUUUCCCAAGUCCUUAAUCCUAAAUUUAUCAUGGAGAAAGGUCUUGAGUUCUUCAAUUUCAAAAACACUUGUUCCUGUCAAAAUCACAUCAUCUACAUAUACAACAACAAAAAUGGUGGAGGUUGUAGACUUUUUGUGAAACAAUGAAUAAUCAUUCAGUGAGUGUAACCUUUUGAAUACAAAAGCCUCAACCAAUUUGACAUACCACUGCCUGCUGGCUUGUUUCAGGCCAUACAGGGACUUAUUUAGUUUGCAUACCAUCCCUAACUUAUGCACUACCAAGCCGGGUGGAACUUCUAUAUAUAUACCUCCUCAUGUAGAUCCCCAUGAAGGAAUGCAUUGUUUACAUCAAGCUAAAAAAUGUUCCAGCCCUUUUUAACAGCUAUGGCUAAUAGAGCCCUCACAGUUGUCAUCUUUAUUACUGGUGAGAAAGUUUAUAUAUAAUCAAUCCUAGAUUCUUGAGUGUAGCCUUUCACUACAAGUCUAGCUUUGAAUCUUUCAACAGUCCCAUCUGCCUUAAGUUUCACUUUAUAAACCCACAUGCAUCAUAUGGCCUUCUUGCCACUAGGUAAAUCAACUAGAUCACAAGUAUGAUUUGCAUGCAAUGCCUCAAAUUCAUGUGUCAUGUCUUGCUGCCAGGCAGGAUUCAUAGUUGCCUCCCCAUAUAAGGAAGGUUCAUCAUCAUUGCUGAUGUUUCUCACAAGAGUUUGACUCUCAUCUGCCAAGACCUCAGGUCGUAUAUGUUGAUGUUUGGAAAAUGUAGCAUUGAGGGAGAUGUUUGAAUUUUGCAGUUAGUUAGGUGCAUUAGCACUAGGUGCAGUUGUCAUAUUCUUAGAUAAGACAUAAUCUUGUAAGUAUGUGGGCAGUUUAUGUGAUCUAGAUGGUCUAGUGGGGGUCGUAGGUUCAGUUAUGUGGAUAGAAUUAGGAGGUUGAAUGGUGGUAGAUAAAUUGGUUGAAUGGUUAGGUGAAGUGUGAAGUAGAGUGGUACUUGCAUUAGCUAUAUUAUUUUCAGUGUUGCAUAUUUUGUGUUCCAAUUUCAGUAUGUACAGUGUCCAUGAAGGGCACAGUAUGUAAAACAGAAGGAAAAGAAUACAUCAGAAAGUGCAACAAAAGGAAAAAUGGAUUCCUUAAAAACUACAUCCCUGGAGAUAUGUAUUUUUCUUGUUGGCACAGUAUGUAAAACAGAAGGAAAAGAAGAUACAUCAGAAAGUGCAGCAAAAGGAAAAAUGGAUUCCUUAAAAACUACAUCCCUGGAGAUAUGUAUUUUUAUUGUAGCCAGGCUUAGAACUUUGUAUCCUUUUGAUCCAAAAGGGUAACCUAUGAAGAUGUGAGGUGUUGUUCUAGGUUGAAAUUUGUCCAUGUGAGACUUUGGAAAGGUAGGAUAACAAAGACAACCAAAGGUACUCAUGUGGGAGUAAGUUGGUUUAGUUUUAUACAACAAUUCAUAUGGACAUUUCCCCAUCAUGUGUGAAGUAGGUAGUCUGUAAAUAAUAUAUGUGGCACACAAAAUGCAUUCCCCCCAGUACUUUAGUGGUAAUUUCGAUUGGAAAAGAAGAGCCCUGGCAGUUUCUAGCAAGUAUUUGUGUUUUCUUUCCACCACCCCAUUUUGUUGUGGUGUGUAAGGACAAUUUCUUUCAUGAAUGAUUCCCUUAGACUUAAGAAAAGUUGAGGUUUCUGAGUUUACAAAUUCAAGUCCAUUAUCAAUUCUUAUAGUCUGGACAGAGACAUUGAAUUGGUUUUCAAUCAUGGACAUGAAGUUUUUGAUGACUUCCAAGGUGUUACUUUUACAUGUCAAUAACUGAGUCCAUGAACACCUACUAUAGUCAUCAACAAGGGUAAUGAAAUAUCUAUAGUUGUCAUGUGUCAUCCUAUGGUAGGGACCCCAAAGAUCUAUAUGCAACAAUUUAAAAGGUUUGGUAGAUGUGUUGGUUCUGUGUGGAAAGGGUAGUCUUUCUUGUCUUGCCAUUGUACAAAUGGUACAAAGAAAAGGUUGCUUAGUGGAAAAGUUCUUAGGUAUGGAUUUGAUUUCCCUUAUCUUCAGAAAAGGUACAUGUCCAAGCCUAUUGUGCCAUAAUACAUUUACAUCAUUGCAAGAAUGAGUCAUAAAAGAAGCAGAAUUCUGAGAUUUUUUAUUGAAUGAAGCACAAUGUUGUACAAGAGAUGCAAGAAAAGGAACAGCUUUAACAGAUGUAUGAUAUGUGAUUAAUGCAAUGUACUCAAUUCCUCCCAUAGCCUCUUCAUUCUAGUAUAGUAAGUGGUGAUAUAUAAUGUACCUUAUGACAACUCACUGAUUUCUCGUUGAACUUGAUACAACUUAGCACCGUUUGUUUGAUCAUAUCGAUCAUCCAAUUCCUUCCAUAAUUCGAAUGAGUUGGGGACAUACUCCACACUGUCUGUGAUCUCCCUAGCUAGAGAGUUGAGAAUCUAGGAAGUAACCAUAUCAUAACAUCUCACCCAUUGGCGAAAGAGUGAUGUUCCUGGAUCGGGUUGUUUGCAAUCUCCAUUGAUAAAGCCCAGCUUAUUUUUCACUGACAAAACUCGAAGAACACCUCAUUCCAUGACCUAUAACCGACUCCAUCAAAGGGAACUUGUACCAGCGAAGCACCUAGAUUAUCUGAAGGAUGCAUGUACAAAGGAGACUAAUGUCGAUACUACCAACACUGUUAUUGUUUACAGAAUUCUAAGUUGAUUGAGAUCCACUUUCAUUCAUCAUUACAACACAAUUCAACAGAAAUCAAAACACACAAUAAAAUUCGAAGUCGAUCUAAGACCCAGCAACAAACCAGUAAAAGACGAAAAAGAAAAAUUGAUCCAAAAUUCGAUCAAUUGGGGACCAAAUCUGGAACGUGAACCAGUAAAAAAAAUGCAAUAUAUGAUGAACGUGAGGAUCUAAGACGAUGCACAGAAGUAAUCGCUGAAAUGAAAUACCUCGUGCUCUGAUACCAUGUCAAUAAUACUGCACAACCAUGGCUAAGCACCAUCCAUGGAUGCAAUACGUGAGAGAGAGAUUGGAGAAGAAGAGAGCUAUUUGGGGAAAAUCUCUUAACUGAUUUUCAUUAUGAGAAGAGCGAAUAUUUAUACAGUGAAGGAACAAUAAAUCUAACUAACAAUUCAACUAACAUAUUAACAUAACACUAAUAGUGUACUAACUACCCUGACUAAUUAAUUUGACAAGACUAACUAACUAACUAAUUAGACUAGUACAUAAUUAGCUGAAUCACAAUAUAUGUCUUUUUUUGUAUUUAUUUAAAGACUUUGUUGAUUUAUUUUUUCUUGUUUAGAUGACCAAAUUUAUAUAUAUGGGUGCAUGCUUAUUUUUGGUCUCGUUAGAAGCUUUAAUGUGCAGCAUAGUAUGUAUAAUUUUCUUUUUAUUAAUGCAUGUUAAUUGAUGUGAUAAUGCCAAUUACCAUUUCAUACCACUUUGCUGCCUAAAUUUGAAGUUUAGUUCAAUUUGUUGACUUCUCUUCUUAUCGACUUGUUAAUCUAUUAGGUUAAGUUGUUGGUCAUUCAAGCAUAAUCCAUGUAUUAAUACACUUAUAACCCUUUAACAAGUUGAUAUUUUUGCAUAAUGCAGGUAGGGGUCGUUUGGUACAAACAUUGAUAAUGCAUGGAUUAGUAAUGGAGGGAAUAGUAACGCAGGGAUUAGUAAUGCAGGGAUUAGUAGUGCAGGGAUUAUUUGUUGUCAAGUGUUUGGUUCACUACUUUCCACUUAAUUUUGUGUUUGAUUUAAAAGUCUACAAAAAAUUUCUUUCGUAUUAUACCCUUGUGUUAUUAUGAGUGUUUAUUUCAUGUAAUUGGGUCAAAGUAGAUAACCACCGGACCGG